rnacentral:rRNA from 1 species
GGUUAAGCGACUAAGCGUACACGGUGGAUGCCCUGGCAGUCAGAGGCGAUGAAGGACGUGCUAAUCUGCGAUAAGCGUCGGUAAGGUGAUAUGAACCGUUAUAACCGGCGAUUUCCGAAUGGGGAAACCCAGUGUGAUUCGUCACACUAUCAUUAACUGAAUCCAUAGGUUAAUGAGGCGAACCGGGGGAACUGAAACAUCUAAGUACCCCGAGGAAAAGAAAUCAACCGAGAUUCCCCCAGUAGCGGCGAGCGAACGGGGAGGAGCCCAGAGCCUGAAUCAGUAUGUGUGUUAGUGGAAGCGUCUGGAAAGGCGUGCGAUACAGGGUGACAGCCCCGUACACAAAAAUGCACAUGCUGUGAGCUCGAUGAGUAGGGCGGGACACGUGGUAUCCUGUCUGAAUAUGGGGGGACCAUCCUCCAAGGCUAAAUACUCCUGACUGACCGAUAGUGAACCAGUACCGUGAGGGAAAGGCGAAAAGAACCCCGGCGAGGGGAGUGAAAAAGAACCUGAAACCGUGUACGUACAAGCAGUGGGAGCCUCUUUAUGGGGUGACUGCGUACCUUUUGUAUAAUGGGUCAGCGACUUAUAUUCUGUAGCAAGGUUAACCGAAUAGGGGAGCCGAAGGGAAACCGAGUCUUAACUGGGCGUUAAGUUGCAGGGUAUAGACCCGAAACCCGGUGAUCUAGCCAUGGGCAGGUUGAAGGUUGGGUAACACUAACUGGAGGACCGAACCGACUAAUGUUGAAAAAUUAGCGGAUGACUUGUGGCUGGGGGUGAAAGGCCAAUCAAACCGGGAGAUAGCUGGUUCUCCCCGAAAGCUAUUUAGGUAGCGCCUCGUGAAUUCAUCUCCGGGGGUAGAGCACUGUUUCGGCAAGGGGGUCAUCCCGACUUACCAACCCGAUGCAAACUGCGAAUACCGGAGAAUGUUAUCACGGGAGACACACGGCGGGUGCUAACGUCCGUCGUGAAGAGGGAAACAACCCAGACCGCCAGCUAAGGUCCCAAAGUCAUGGUUAAGUGGGAAACGAUGUGGGAAGGCCCAGACAGCCAGGAUGUUGGCUUAGAAGCAGCCAUCAUUUAAAGAAAGCGUAAUAGCUCACUGGUCGAGUCGGCCUGCGCGGAAGAUGUAACGGGGCUAAACCAUGCACCGAAGCUGCGGCAGCGACACUAUGUGUUGUUGGGUAGGGGAGCGUUCUGUAAGCCGUUGAAGGUG